GGGCUUGACAUCCCACGAACCUGUUGAAAGGCAGGAGUGCCCGCAAGGGAGCGCGGAGACAGGUGGUGCAUGGCUGUCGUCAGCUCGUGUCGUGAGAUGUUGGGUUAAGUCCCGCAACGAGCGCAACCCUCACCCCUUGUUGCUACCAGGUAAAGCUGGGCACUCUAGGGGAACUGCCCCGGUCAACGAGGAGGAAGGCGGGGAUGACGUCAAGUCAUCAUGCCCCUUACGUCCUGGGCUACACACGUGCUACAAUGGCCGGUACAAAGGGAUGCCACACCGCGAGGUAGAGCUAAACCCAAAAAGCCGGUCUAAGUUCAGAUUGGAGUCUGCAACUCGACUCCAUGAAGGAGGAAUCGCUAGUAAUCGCGUAUCAGCACGACGCGGUGGAUACGUUCCCGGGCCUUGUACACACCGCCCGUCACACCACGAAAGCCAGCUGUACUCGAAGUCGCUGAG
rnacentral:rRNA from 1 species